AAAUUAAGGUUCUAGACUUCUAGUGCCAUGUACUCAUAGCAAGGGAUCAUCCCCUUCACUAGAAGUCUAGAACCCUUGAAAUCAAAGACAGCAAAAAUGCACCAUGCUUGUCUCUUUGGUGUCCCAAAUCCAGCUACUACUCUUCCAUUACUGUCAAGCUUCACUGCUUCUGGUUCUGGUUCUCCUACCACCACCUCUUUCAAGCUCAGUACAACAUCUCACAAGAGACCUACAAGCACUAGGUGCCAACCCAUGUUGCAUUCCGACCCCAAAACCACCCCAACACAGGAUCGGUGGUCUCUUCGUGGGAUGACAGCUCUCGUCACCGGUGGAACUCGCGGAAUUGGGUACGCCAUUGUGGAGGAAUUGAUGGGUUUUGGAGCAAAUGUGCAUACCUGUGCUAGAAACCAAGAUGAUCUUGAUAAGUGCUUGAAGCAAUGGAAUGAUUCGGGGUUUGAGGUUACUGGGUCAGUUUGUGAUGUGUCGGUUCCACAGCAGAGGGAGGCUCUCAUGGAGUCUGUGUCCUCUGUCUUCCAUGGGAAACUAAACAUCCUUGUAAACAAUGUAGGGACAAAUAUUCGGAAACCAAUUAUAGACUUCACAACUGCAGAGUUUUCCCGUCUUAUGGAUACCAAUUUAGGAUCAACCUUUCACAUGUGCCAACUUGCAUAUCCACUUCUGAAAGCAUCAGGAGUGGGAAGUGUUGUAUUUAUCUCGUCUGUUUCUGCUUUUGUCUCCCUGAAGUCCAUGUCUGUUCAAGGAGCAACAAAAGGGGCAAUUAAUCUACUUACGAAAAAUUUAGCUUGCGAGUGGGCAAAAGAUAAUAUUAGGAGUAAUGCAGUUGCGCCUUGGUACAUCAAAACAUCAAUGGUUGAGCAAUUCUAGGGUUGGAAUGCACACAAGUCAAAUCCUCUACCAUUUUAGUUUCCAUUUUGUUCCUCUUCAAAGUUCCAACUAGUGAAUAAAAGAGUAUGUACUCCAAUUCUUCUCACAACAUGAUAGAGAACAAGAUUGUACAAGAAGCACGAGGGCAAGUUUUUGGAUUUGUGUCUCAAAUAUAUCGAAGCAUAUCCCAAAGGUAUGGACAAUAGUUUCCCUGUACGAAAUAGAAGAUUUGGAGGGUGCUCCUUGGAUACAUAUCUAGAAAUCUUACAUGUAUUUCAGUGUCGGAUACGGGUACAGCAUCUAGGCUUCAUAGUAGAUUACUACUGUCUUCCAAAUAUCCAAUGAAAUGAUUUUGAAAGUUAGACAUUUUAUGAUCCCAUGAUUGGAGCAUUCAGGAUUGUGAUCUGUAAUAUAAAAUGAUUUAAGUUAUUGGAGAUACAACUAGUUCUAUUGACUAGUAUAAUGGUAUCUUUGAUAUAACAUCUAGGUAGAUUUAUGCAGUCAAUCUUCUUCCUUUCUAAGUGCCAUCUUAGGUAGAUUGCAGCAAAUAUAUUGUUUGGUGAAGCAAGAACCUAGAAUUUAUCUGGAAUCUUAUCCUUGGGAACAGUAACUUUUCAGUAAGCAUGACCUUGAAAUCUCAAUGAUAAAUCUACAUUUAACCUCUGGCUUCUGUUUGACCAAACAAAUUUACAUGACAUCGUAGUGUUGGAAUGCUCAUAAUGAGCUACUUACAAGCUUAUUCUAAUAAGCCUAUGAAUAAGUGCUUAAUGAAGCUGUUUUACUCAAAUGCGUCUUAUGUCCUUUAUCUUUCCCAAUUAAAGUUCUAGGGUUGGAAUGCACACAAGUCAAAUCCUCUACCAUUUUAGUUUCCAUUUUGUUCCUCUUCAAAGUUCCAACUAGUGAAUAAAAGAGUAUGUACUCCAAUUCUUCUCACAACAUGAUAGAGAACAAGAUUGUACAAGAAGCACGAGGGCAAGUUUUUGGAUUUGUGUCUCAAAUAUAUCGAAGCAUAUCCCAAAGGUUCUCAGCAACAAGGACUAUCUGGAAGAGGUUUACUCUCGAACUCCUCUUAGGCGCCUCGGAGAUCCUGCAGAAGUGUCUUCUCUUGUUGCCUUUCUUUGCUUACCAGCAUCAUCAUACAUCACUGGCCAGAUUAUAU